ensembl:lncRNA
AAGGGAGUUGUACUCGCUGAUACAAAUAGGAAGCCAUGUUUUUGUCAAGGCAGAAAGCAUUGUGUAUAACAGUUACAAUAAGUUUCUCUUUGGAAGUGGGACUAGAUUGAUUGUAACACCAAAACUUGAUGAUUCAGAACCUUCUGUCUACCAGCUGAAGCCCAAAACAGAAUCAGGUGACCUAGCCGCUUGCCUCAUUACUGACUAUUCACCUGAUCCCAUCAACGUUAAUGAUGGUUUGGACCAUCAAGAAGUCAAUGGCUCUGCUGUGGUUGUGAAAGACGAUGAUAAAGAAUCGGCCAGCCUUGGGGUUGUCAUUUGGAGCAAAAAUAAGGAUCAGUUUCAAUGCUCUGCUAAUUACAAAGACCAAACCUACAAAGCUGAAAAAGAAGGGGAUGCUACGUGUUCAAAAUCUCUAUCCGACACUCCAGGUUUCGAAACAG